GAUGAACGCUAGCGGCAGGCCUAAUACAUGCAAGUCGAGGGAGAAUGUUGGACUCGUCUGACAUGAAACCGGCGCACGGGUGCGUAACACGUAUGCAACCUACCUUUAACUGGGGUAUAGCUCAGAGAAAUCUGAAUUAAUCCCCCAUAAGACUACGACAUGGCAUCAUGAUGUAGUUAAAGCUCCGGCGGUUAAGGAUGGGCAUGCGGUACAUUAGCUAGUUGGUGAGGUAAUGGCUCACCAAGGCUACGAUGUAUAGGGGGUCUGAGAGGAUGAUCCCCCACACUGGUACUGAGACACGGACCAGACCCCUACGGGAGGCAGCAGUAGGGAAUAUUGGUCAAUGGACGAAAGUCUGAACCAGUCAUGCCGCGUGAAGGAUGAAGGCCCUAUGGGUCGUAAACUUCUUUUAUUAGGGAAGAAAAAACGGGAUGCGUCCUGUACUGACGGUACUUAAUGAAUAAGGAUCGGCUAACUUCGUGCCAGCCGCCGCUGUAA
rnacentral:rRNA from 1 species